UAAAGGUAUGUUGUCAGGUAAAGUUAUCUAAAGGUAUGUUGUCAGGUAAAGUUAUCUAAAGGUAUGUUGUCAGGUAAAGUUAUCUAAAGGUAUGUUGUCAGGUAAAGUUAUCUAAAGGUAUGUUGUCAGGUAAAGUUAUCUAAAGGUAUGUUGUCAGGUAAAGUUAUCUAAAGGUAUGUUGUCAGGUAAAGUUAUCUAAAGGUAUGUUGUCAGGUAAAGUUAUCUAAAGGUAUGUUGUCAGGUAAAGUUAUCUAAAGGUAUGUUGUCAGGUAAAGUUAUCUAAAGGUAUGUUGUCAGGUAAAGUUAUCUAAAGGUAUGUUGUCAGGUAAAGUUAUCUAAAGGUAUGUUGUCAGGUAAAGUUAUCUAAAGGUAUGUUGUCAGGUAAAGUUAUCUAAAGGUAUGUUGUCAGGUAAAGUUAUCUAAAGGUAUGUUGUCAGGUAAAGUUAUCUAAAGGUAUGUUGUCAGGUAAAGUUAUCUAAAGGUAUGUUGUCAGGUAAAGUUAUCUAAAGGUAUGUUGUCAGGUAAAGUUAUCUAAAGGUAUGUUGUCAGGUAAAGUUAUCUAAAGGUAUGUUGUCAGGUAAAGUUAUCUAAAGGUAUGUUGUCAGGUAAAGUUAUCUAAAGGUAUGUUGGCAGAUAAUGGUGUCAGGUAAAGGUGUGUAAAGGUAUGUUG